rnacentral:pre_miRNA from 1 species
CAAAUACCCCCUCCGUCCGGAAAUACUUGUCAUCAAAAUGGAUAAAAGGAAAUGUAUCUAGACGUAUUUUAGUUUUAGAUACAUCUCUUUUUAUCCAUUUUGAUGACAAGUAUUUUCGGACGGAGGGAGUAUUUU